AUUGAACGCUGGCGGCAGGCCUAACACAUGCAAGUCGAGCGGAUGAAGGGAGCUUGCUCCUGGAUUCAGCGGCGGACGGGUGAGUAACGCCUAGGAAUCUGCCUGGUAGUGGGGGAUAACGUCCGGAAACGGGCGCUAAUACCGCAUACGUCCUGAGGGAGAAAGUGGGGGAUCUUCGGACCUCACGCUAUCAGAUGAGCCUAGGUCGGAUUAGCUAGUUGGUGGGGUAAAGGCCUACCAAGGCGACGAUCCGUAACUGGUCUGAGUGGAUGAUCAGUCACACUGGAACUGGGACACGGUCCAGACUCCUACGGGAGGCCGCAGAGGGGAAUAUUGGACAAAGGGCGGAAGCCUGAUCCAGCCAUGCCGCGUGUGUGAAGAAGGUCUUCGGAUUGUAAAGCACUUUUAGUUGGGAGGAAGGGCAGUAAGUUAAUACCUUGCUGUUUUGACGUUACCAACAGAAUAAGCACCGGCUAACUUCGUG
rnacentral:rRNA from 1 species